CUUUUCGAGGUAGGAGUCGACUCCUGUGAGGUAUGGUGCUGGGUGCAGAUGCAGUGUGGCUCUGGAUAGCACCUUAUGGACAGUUGUGUCCCCAAGGAAGGAUGAGAAUAGCUACUGAAGUAAGUUGAAAAUUCCCUCUCAAAAAGGUUUAAAGCCAUUGGAUGUGCCACAAUGAUGACAGUUUAUUUGCUACUCUUGAGUGCUAGAAUGAUGAGGAUCUUAACCACCAUUAUCUUAACUGAGGCACCCAAAAUGGUGAGUUGGGGAACAUAGAGAGUACACCUAAGUUCACAUGAAGUUGUUUCUUCCCAGGUCCUAAAGAGCAAGCCUAACUCAAGCCAUUGGCACACAGGCAUUAGACAGAAAGCUGGAAGUUGAAAUGGUGGAGUCCAACUUGCCUGGACCAGCUUAAUGGUUCUGCUCCUGGUAACGUUUUUAUCCAUGGAUGACUUGCUUGGGUAAGGACAUGAAGACAGUUCCUGUCAUACCUUUUAAAGGUACAUGUUUUAUUGAUGUUAACGUUAAUUGAUUGAGCUACUGUUAGUGAUGAUUUUAAAAUUAAAGCAGAUGGGAAUCUCUCUGAGAAAGAAAAUGGAGAUUAAUCUUAAACUGAAACAGUAGUUGGGAAAUCUUUUAGAAAUCCACCUAUUACUACCUAUUGGUAAAGGAGAUUAAAUUUCUACAGGUAUGGAGAGUCGGCUUGACUACACUGUGUGGAGCAAGUUUUAAAGAAGCAAAGGACUCAGAAUUCAUGAUUGAAGAAAUGCAGGCAGACCUGUUAUCCUAAACUAGGUGAGUCAGCUUUUGGUACAUGUGAUGAUUUUCAGUGUAACCAAUGAUGUAAUGAUUCUGCCAAAUGAAAUAUAAUGAUAUCACUGUAAAACCGUUCCAUUUUGAUUCUGAGGUUACUCUACUAACAAGCAUCACACAUUUGUAUUUUGCCCUGAUUAAUAUGUUGGCUUCGCUUUCAGGGUUUUUAAUGACCACAACAAGCAAGCAUGCAGCUUACUGCUUGAAAGGGUCUUGCCUCACCCAAGCUAGAGUGCAGUGGCCUUUGAAGCUUACUACAGCCUCAAACUUCUGGGCUCAAGUGAUCCUCAGCCUCCCAGUGGUCUUUGUAGACUGCCUGAUGGAGUCUCAUGGCACAAGAAGAUUAAAACAGUGUCUCCAAUUUUAAUAAAUUUUUGCAAUCCA
ensembl:lncRNA GAS5 growth arrest specific 5